UUCCGUUUCUAGUUUUUUCCUCUCCCGCUACCCAAGAUGGCGUCACGCAGCAGAACAACAAUGAUGUCAGUCGCCAGUGCUUUAAGCCUUGUUUUGCAAGAAGAGAGUGAUGAUUCACAACAAAGUCAAAGUCUCGGAAGCAGCGGCAGUGAAUUUGAGCCACCACCAGAUCGAAAAUCUGAGCCUGGAACCUUACGGGAGGACCAGCCCAAUUCAGUGACAGCAGAAGGUUCAUCUUGCCGUGGGCUCAUGAACCCUUUGGUGACUGGGCCUGCACAGGGAGGGGAGGACAACGAUCCCAGCACAUCCCAGGUGGAAACCGAUGAAGCUUAGCUCGGACCUUUAGCUGCUCUUGAGUCUAUCGAGGAGCCACCCCGUACUUCAAACGGAAACGAAAGUGUUGCUGAUGGUGCAAUCAGCACUGUCGAGGAAGACGAGGAGCCACCGACUCCGAUUAACCGAGACGAAAGUUUUGCUGACAGUGUAGUCAGCACUGUCGAGGAAGACGAGGAGCCACCGACUCCAGCUCCUUCAUAUGGAGUCGAAAGUUUUGGUGGUAGUGAAAUCAGCACUGUUGAUUUCAACAACACAGCAGAUGACCCUCUCCCUUCAAACCGCGGUAAAAGGAAACCAGCCCCUCACACCUGGAGACGCAGUGUGGCAAAGCAUGCCCGAUUGUUUUUGUAAUUUGUUUAUGACCAUGCCUAUCUUGUUUCUCAUGUUUUAGUAGAGGUUUUACAGCGCUAGCAAAUGCAUAAAGUCAUUAGUGAGUGCCAAGGGGUAGAUGUCAACA